AUUAGUUUGAUCAUGGCUCAGAUUGAACGCUGGCGGUAAGCUUAACACAUGCAAGUCGAGCGGCAUCGAAAGAAUUCUUGUCGGCGAGCGGCAAACGGGUGAGUAAUAUCUGGGGAUCUACCCAAAAGAGGGGGACAACUACUGGAAACGGUGGCUAAUACCGCAUAAUGAAACCAAAGUGGGGGAUCUAACCUCAUGCUUUUGGAUGAACCCAGACGAGAUUAGCUUGAUGGUAAGGUAAUGGCUUACCAUGGCAACGAUCUCUAGCUGGUCUGAGAGGAUAACCAGCCACACUGGAACUGAGACACGGUCCAGACUCCUACGGGAGGCAGCAGUGGGGAAUAUUGCACAAUGGGCGCAAGCCUGAUGCAGCUAUACCGCGUGUAUGAAGAAGGCCUUAGGGUUGUAAAGUACUUUCGUUGGGGAGGAAAAAUGAAUAAUACCUGUUUGUCUUAACGUUACCCAAACAAGAAGCACCGGCUAACUCCGUGCCAGCAGCCGCGGUAAUACGGAGGGUGCAAGCGUUAAUCAGAAUUACUGGGCGUAAAGAGCUCGUAGGCGGUUUUUUAAGUCAGAUGUGAAAUCCCUGGGCUUAACCUAGGAACUGCAUUUGAAACUAAAAAACUAGAGUCUCGUAGAGGGAGGUAGAAUUCUAGGUGUAGCGGUGAAAUGCGUAGAUAUCUGGAGGAAUACCUGUGGCGAAAGCGGCCUCCUAAACGAAGACUGACGCUGAGGUGCGAAAGCAUGGGGAGCAAACAGGAUUAGAUACCCUGGUAGUCCAUGCCGUAAACGAUGUCGGCUUGGAGGUUGUUUCCUUGAGAAGUGACUUCCGAAGCUAACGCGUUAAGUCGACCGCCUGGGGAGUACGGCCGCAAGGCUAAAACUCAAAUGAAUUGACGGGGGCCCGCACAAGCGGUGGAGCAUGUGGUUUAAUUCGAUGCAACGCGAAAAACCUUACCUGGUCUUGACAUCCACAGAAUCUUCUAGAGAUAAAAAAGUGCCUUAGGGAACUGUGAGACAGGUGCUGCAUGGCUGUCGUCAGCUCGUGUUGUGAAAUGUUGGGUUAAGUCCCGCAACGAGCGCAACCCUUAUCCUCUGUUGCCAUUGGUUCGGCCAGGAACUCAGAGGAGACUGCCGGUUAUAAACCGGAGGAAGGCGGGGACGACGUCAAGUCAUCAUGGCCCUUACGACCAGGGCUACACACGUGCUACAAUGGUGUAUACAAAGAGAAGCAACUCUGUAAAGACAAGCAAACCUCAUAAAGUACAUCGUAGUCCGGACUGGAGUCUGCAACUCGACUCCACGAAGUCGGAAUCGCUAGUAAUCGUGGAUCAGAAUGCCACGGUGAAUACGUUCCCGGGCCUUGUACACACCGCCCGUCACACCAUGGGAGUGGGUUGCAAAAGAAGCAAGUAGCUUAACAAUGGAUGGCGCUUACCACUUCGUGGUUCAUGACU
rnacentral:rRNA from 2 species